UGGAUAUGAUGAUUUUUCCCCAAAUGAACAACGCUGAAUAAAUUAAGCGAUUAUUAUUUUCUCUUUGGAGAAACCAAGCCAAGAAUAUGAUGUUA
rnacentral:snoRNA from 1 species